UCGUGUGCUUUCCGAUUUCGAUCCUGGCUCAGGAUGAACACUGGCGGCAUGCUUAACACAUGCAAGUCGAACGGGAAGUGGUGUUUCCAGUGGCGAACGGGUGAGUAACACG